rnacentral:tRNA from 4 species
CGCGGGGUGGAGCAGUUCGGUAGCUCGUCGGGCUCAUAACCCGAAGGUCGUUGGUUCAAAUCCAGCCCCCGCAACCA